rnacentral:rRNA from 1 species
AUGAGCCUCAGGCCCGCGUCGCCGUCCCAUGAGCAGCUGAUGAAGCGCAAACAAGAGCGUAAUCGCAAGAGUUUGAUUAUAGCGCUCAACACAUAUGCCAAGCAAAAUAAUAUGCAGAUUAAUGAUUUUGAGUUUGUGGAAGAGAAAGAAAGGAAUCUGGUUUCUGGAAUGCUUGGAGGAUAUGUGCAUUCCAACUUUGUGGUGAAAGGUGUAGAUGGCAGACCAACUUUGUUCUUUGCUGAGAUGGAGCAUGACUGCUUCCAGGAAGAACAUGUUGUUCUCUGCACUCCGUUGGAAGACAAGGACUCUGGUUGUUGUUUCGGGUGCAAUAAGCGAGCAAGAAAGCUCAGGCACCCCACAUGCGGUGGCUACUUGGGUGGACUCGAGGAUGUGCCGUUUCCUUACGUGGAGGAGGAUAGUGAUGAUGAGUGCUUUCUUGAAUGA